rnacentral:rRNA from 1 species
UACAGAGGGUGCGAGCGUUAAUCGGAAUUACUGGGCGUAAAGCGUGCGUAGACGGUUGCAUAAGUCGGAUGUGAAAUCCCCGGGCUCAACCUGGGAAUUGCAUUCGAGACUGUGUAGCUGGGGUGCGGAAGAGGGAAGCGGAAUUUCCGGUGUAGCUGUGAAAUGCGUAGAUAUCGGAAGGAACAUCAGUGGCGAAAGCGGCUUCCUGGUCCAGCACCGACGUUCAGGCACGAAAGCGUGGGGAGCAAACAGG